CCGCGUGUACGCGUCGCUGCUGCGCUACACCCCACAAACGCGAGGCGACGAGAUAGGCGGCAUCUUCGCCCUUCACCUCUGGCUUGCGCGUGCGUGGAAAGCGAGAGCAGAAGCGAAAACAUAUAUAUAUAUAUAUGUACUACGAUUGCGUGUGUCUGCGCUACCAAAUGAGCACAGAUCAGGGCGGCCGUCCGGUGCGCAUGCUGGUCUUCGCAGUUGCCGCUGACGUUGCAGCACUGCGUCGCGCUGUCGCUGCUGUGGCGAGGCCGGCAACAUCGAUGAACUACGCCGACGAGCCUCACAGAGAAGACGGAAGAGCUGCUGAACAGACAAGUGUAGCAGCGGGCGCCACUCGAGGCGUACUCAGUGAUGACGCGUGGGUGUUCGCUUCCGUUUCAGGCUCAUGUAGCUUGCUCGCCGCGCCAGACUCCUCGGGCUACCUCUCUCCCGCGCGGUAUCAGGCGGCGGCGCGCGAGAUGCGGCAAUGGCAGUGCCUGCUGAGUCUGGUGCGCUUACCCCACCUGCAUGCAGGUUUUUCAUGCACCAGCGGCCCUGCAACUCGCGAUAGGCAGGCCGAUGACACGACUUUCAGGGCGCGCGCCAGUGCGGCGGCAACAGAAACUCUGGACGAGUCCCUUUCUUGCGAUCAACAUGUUGACACGUUUUCUAGUGCCGAGGACACUGAGCACUCGUGCCUACUGUGGGCGCAUGUUCCACACACUACCUCAGGUGCAGAUUUUGCUGAGUUUGAUCUCGGUCGCUCUCGGGUCUGCCCUGCACGUGGCGGCGUCGCUGCAGAUGUCUAUCCCCCUGCAGGGCAUCAUCUGCUGUGCAUCGACGUUGGCGGCGUCUACCUGGCGAGCUCACGGACACAUCCUGCAUCAGGGCGUACACAGAGUGCACCGCCGCAGCCCUCAGAAGCAGCCGCGACGAAGACAGCAGAGAAGUCAGAGCGUGCUUCGAGGAGGCCGAGCGCGGCGCGCGUUGGGCACAGCCGUGCCCCGAAGGAACAGACAUCAUCCCUCGAUGCACACCUGAGCAACGCCAAAGCCGUGGAAGGCGAGAGGGAAGCUGAGGCGUCGCAGAGCCUAUGGCGCCUGCUGCAACAGCGCUUUGCGACUGCAACACGCACUUGCCCGUUCAGGACGGACGCCGGUGCCGCAGCGUUUCCCCUGACGCUCACGGAGGUAUGGGUGAUACCCCUGCUGACCGCGGAGCGCGACAGCGAACAUCUUUUGCACACUGCAACUCUGGGUCUCUCCGCCUUUCCGCUGCUUGUGAAGGACGAGCAUCACCGCAACUCCGCUGAUUGUGCCGCUGUCGUGGGUGACGGCGCGAAAGUCUUCCGCCUAGCGCGUCACCCCCCAGCUCACAUGCUUCGCCUCGCUGUAGAUGACGGUGCGCUUUCAACUGACCCGUCGUCAUCUACGAUGUGUCAGGCGGCCGCGCUUCGGUCGCGCAAGAGGCUCCGUGACAGCGCGGCGGGGCGACAAGAUGAGGCAGAGGGAAGUCGGUGGCUGGCCGCACACACGACACCUCGGUUGCCGAACGCCGUGUUUCUGCGCUCUUGCUGCUGCAACCGCGGAGGCGCCGACCCUGCGGCACCGGAGCUAUCUGCUCUGCGACUUCGGAUACUGGAGGGUGACUUCCUGCUUCGCAGCUGCUACUUCUCUGAGUGGUGCUGCGCCGCUGACUUUGACAUAACAAGUGGCUUUGUCAGUCUACAUGUGGGCAAGUGGACAAGGAGUGCUACGGCUUACCACGCCUUCUACAGUGUGCUGCGGCGGUGCGUGCUGGCCGAGGACGCGCUUGUGCAGCGCUCGAUAGAGGAGGAGGCAGGAAAGUGGGUCGCGUCGUGCGGGUCACUUUCUGGAGCUGACGUCACGAGCAGCUCCGGGGCAGCCGCGGUGCCGCGCAGCCCCACCGAGGCCCUCUUCAAGGAAAGCGCCCUUGAGGGGCGCAGCGCGGACGACUCAGGCGCUCGCGGAAGUGAGCGGGUGUGGCCUAUAGAGGAGCUGUGGGGCCUGUGGGUGCGACUGGGGUGGACGCCUCCAUUGGCGUGGCCGCGUGUGCGUGUGUGCCUGCGACUCAGUGAGGGCAUUGGCCUGGGCAGCGUGGGCCAGCGCUCUAUUUGGGAGCUGUCUCCGCGCGCUCUUCUGACACUCUUGUCACGGGUGGCGACAGCGGUGAACGCGGCAUACAUUCAAGCGAAGCACCUGCAGCCGACGCAUGAUCCUCGAGGAGAUUGCCUGACUGCGGAGAUCGAGAGAGAUGACGAUGCCGCCGGCGCAGACCUUGACCGGGUGAGUGACCUGGGCCGUGCUCACAGCUGUCAGGAGCGCAUACUGUCUUCUUCGGCUGCUCGAUGUGAGUCGUCGGUGCAGGUGCGACGGCUGUUUGAGUUUCAGGCAGCGCUCUCCGUCGCCCCGGAAUUUGUCACCGGGCCAGUGUUAGCUGAGCUGCCCGAUUUUGCUGCAGCGGCUCCCUGCGUCCCCACCGUCGACUCGGGCGCCAUCACUGCAUCCGGUGACGCUGCUGGGGGCUCUCUUGUUCUCAGCGCCGCCGCACGUGAUCUUGCCAUGGACAUUGCCGCUACCACGGUGCUUUCUACCUCGCAUCCUGCAGCGUCCCCGGCAGGCAGUGUUGCUGGUGCCGUGGCGUUAACCGUGACGUGGCUUCGUGGUGUGCUCGAGUCCCCAGCGUUGCUCAUUCUUCCGCUCGGUGUGUCUGGACAUGUGAAUGAGAGAGAGAGCGCCGAUGACUCUUCGGGCGGCGCUGGCGCGCACCCUUCCUGCAGGAUCGCGAUGGACAAGAAAGCAGCGUCGCUUACUGCACUGCUCGCGCGCCGAUCGCCAUUUCAGCCAGAGAAGUUGCUUCGGGGUGCACUGGAUAUUUCUUCGGCUUCGCAUUCUCCGCAGAUGCCGCCCCCGUCCUCGCUGCCCGCCGCAGAGAUGUACUGCGAAGUCGCCGAUGUGGCAGAGCUGCGCUGGUGUUCCCCACAAGCGUACACGGCGACGGCAACCACCACGAGCUAUCGGGAAACGCUCUCCACCGCCGCUUCUCAAAAUCCUACGCUGCAGUCGCCCAGCUCGGUGUCUUCGACUGCGUCCUGUUGCGCCCUCGCUUGUGUUGAAGUGGCGCGACUGGCACGCACGGAGACGGCCGACGAGACUGUCAAUGUGUGCCGUGAAUCGCACCGGCAGCUCAGCGCCACAAACCCGUUGGCUGCAUUUCUGUACACGCGUUUCGCUGCAUAUCUUCAAGAGCAAGGCGUCGUGACCGUCGCGUCAACAUCGGGAGAAGGGAGCAGCGAGGGGGAAGCGCAAGAUCCUGGAAGAGAUGAUGAGCACAUACCACGUGAUGCCUGCCCGGCGCGGCGCUCGGCCGUGGCAGUGCCCUCUUCAUUCCAGCCCCCCAUGCUGCGGCAUAAAGACUGUACUCAGGGCGGAGCGGCAACCGUGUCUUUACCCGAGGAUGGCGGCUGCCUCAGCGACAAGAGUGUGUCUUCAGGGGAUGGCGAUGCGGUCAAGACACUAUUGGCGGAGACUGUGGUGCGCGUCGUUCAGCAGAACAAGCCUGUGGUACGGCGCAUCCUGGCUCUUAUUCAGUCCUACAGCGGCGUCGUCGCCGCAGCCACGGCAGAGAGCAACGGCGGUGCGCGAUGUGUCGCCAGCAUGGAUGAGGCAGCGAGGAUAAAGAGCAGUGACACUCAGCCAAAGGACGCCGUUGCGCAGGACCUAUGGCGCUGUCUCGCACCGGAGAUAAAUGCUGCCAUGCGUGUGGAUGAGGCGGCCAGUCCGGCGUCGUCGUGCGCCGCUUCGUGCGCCAAAGCGACGGCACGGCGCCUUGUGCGCGCGUUUUGGGAAAACGUCGCUGCAACCGCCCGCCUACAACUGCGCGACCGGCUGGGCGCGUUGUCAGGCCGUGAGAAGUAUGCAACGAGCGAUUCGGAUGAGGAGGAGUCCGCCAGGCGCUCAGCAUCACCACCGGCAAGGCGGGACGGCGCGGCCUGCUCGCCAGCGGAAGCGGCGGUGCCAACAGCUUCAGUGAGGCAGCACAGUUUCGCUGUCAAGGAGAAUGGGGCGGAACCUACGACGGCGAAGUCGAGCACGCUGUCGCCUUCGUCCUGUGAACAGGUGCGUGCCUCUGCCGGCUUCCCCUUGCUUCCCUCUGCGUCGCUGUCGCGCCAGCUUCCCUCGCCGAACCCUGUCGGGCAGUCCUGUGGAUCGUUGAGUCAGGCGGUUCGUGCGCUGGACGGGGCACAGGCGAUGGCCCUGUACAUGCAACACAUUCUGGGGUGCUCCAGCGCCGCCGGCCACUGGCAAGGCCAGGCCCGACUUGGCGGCUGCACUUUGCUCAGUUGCGCAACGGAGGCGCCUGGGAGAGCACCACCCACCACGGCGGGCACUGCAGCACCGCCCACCCGUCCUCAGCAGCCUAACCAUUGGCUUCACCAUGCACUCUUUCUUUUGAGCUACGGGCUCGCGUGUCCCGCUGAUGAUCCGGUGAUGUCCAGUGCUGCAGCAUCCGCCCCAGCAUACGCCUCCGCAAAGGAAUGCCGCCCUGUGGGCCCAUACCAAGAAGCAGACCAACUCGCACUACCGCCACCGCCUGCACUGGCGGCGUUUCGCGCCCUACGUUGCGGGAAGCUUUUGCUCGACGGGUUUAUCGGCGAGGCACUGGAGGUCUACGUGCAGCGGUGGACGCUCAGCGUACAGGCCCGGUGAGCUGUGCGACAGAAAUGUUUUUUUUUUUUGUUUCCUUCUCUUCCCUCUGAGGUGUGCCCCAAAGAGGCUUAUGCGCGCCCACGCGGAAGCACCAUAUGCUUUUUUUGUGCUCUCUGUCACUGCUUUACUGCUGUUGAUCUGCUACACAUCUGUACUCCUACUUGAUACUCUGCUUUCUACGUUCAGAAAAUCAUGGAGAGAGGCACACCCACACCUACGCACAGACGGCUCAUAAACCACGGACAGAGUGUCGACUGCGCCGAGUGUACACGUCUCACCGACACAUGCGCAUCCCAAAAGAAGGCCGGCAGACGACAAGAAACAGCUACUAGACAUGCCGCUGAAUGUCAAACACCCACAGUAGCGGCUGACCUCGGAUCCGCUGUGCUUUUCCUUUGCUCUUGUACUUCUUCGGGCCCGUCAAUCAUGCACGCCACGUGCACCUUUCCCGCGAAAUGUCG
rnacentral:misc_RNA from 1 species